UGGGGAAUAUUGCACAAUGGGCGCAAGCCUGAUGCAGCCAUGCCGCGUGUGUGAAGAAGGCCUUCGGGUUGUAAAGCACUUUCAGCGAGGAGGAAGGUGGUGAACUUAAUACGUUCAUCAAUUGACGUUACUCGCAGAAGAAGCACCGGCUAACUCCGUGCCAGCAGCCGCGGUAAUACGGAGGGUGCAAGCGUUAAUCGGAAUUACUGGGCGUAAAGCGCACGCAGGCGGUUUGUUAAGUCAGAUGUGAAAUCCCCGGGCUCAACCUGGGAACUGCAUUUGAAACUGGCAAGCUAGAGUCUCGUAGAGGGGGGUAGAAUUCCAGGUGUAGCGGUGAAAUGCGUAGAGAUCUGGAGGAAUACCGGUGGCGAAGGCGGCCCCCUGGACGAAGACUGACGCUCAGGUGCGAAAGCGUGGGGAGCAAAACAGGAUUAGAUACCCUGGUAGUCCACGCUGUAAAACGAUGUCGAUUUUGGAGGUUGUGCCCUUGAGGCGUGGCUUCCGGAGCUAACGCGUUAAAUCGACCGCCUGGGGAGUACGGCCGCAAGGUUAAAACUUAAAUGAAUUG
rnacentral:rRNA from 1 species